CACUUCAUAGGGUCUGAUGCCACCUGAUAAUACAGACCAAGAAAAACGUCAAGCCAUUGCAGCUGUACCAGUUUUUACCAGGAAAGAGUUGGUCAUGAGUAUUUGAUGUGGCAGAUAGAGACUCUGCAUUCUGUUGCAAUUCAGAUCUGCUGGCUUCAGUGGAGGAAGGCUUUGCACCAAGUGCAGAACUGGGGGACUAUUGGAUCCCUGGAUGCUGAGAUUUCUACAAGCGACAGGUGACAAUAUGGAAAGAUCAGCCACAGCUUUCUACUCUUCCAGCUCAACCUUUUGGCUCUGGUUCUUCUCCUGAGUCUGUCUGCUUUGUGCUUCGUCAGUGGAAAACUCUCCCAGAGCUACUCCAGAUUUGAUGGCGCCGUGGGACCUGAUCAAUGGACAGCCGGGCAUAUGUUAUAUAGCCCCUGACUGUUGCACAUGUAUCAUCCACUGGCAUCACUCAGUGCUGAAUGUCAUCAGAAGACCCAAGGUAAUGUUUGACUGUAAACAACACUGAAGACCUGGCAGACUUUUUGUCCAUCACUAGACGUGCAUCAAUUUCGGCACAGACCAGGAAAGGAUUGGUGCAGCAAAAGUUUUGGAGCAGGUCAUUUCCCUGUUUCAUUGAAUUGAAACUCUGGGAGUUCCCAUUUGGACUUGU